GGCCAAGGGUCCCCUGCAAAACCCGCCUUCAAGCCUAAAACAGCCUGAAGGCCGAAAAAUCGGAUUACCGACCUGGAGAAUCUCCCAUUGGCCUACGCGCUGGGAGGAAGCGGUGGGGCCUCGGGAAGCUCCGGCUGUUUGCAUGGGGAGGAGUCGGCCCCUCCCGUUCCUGUGCGGUAAACGGCAAGUCAGUCUGUGACAUGGGGGCCUGUUGACAGGAGCCACUCUCACUCAGGAGCCCCUCUCACUUUGUUGAGAAUCUUUUUCCUUUUCACCCAAUACAUUCCGUAACUUCUCACCCUUCAAAGUGUCUGCGUGCCUAAUCUUUCCUGGUCGUGUCGCAAGAACCGAGUUUUUCCUACAACAACAAGAGGGAAGUAACCUGGGUCCCUGAAUUUCAUCCGAAGAGCAGCUGCCCUCUGAUCUGAAAUACUCAUUUUGUCUUUAUGUGAGGAAGAUAUAAACUUUCACUGGGAAGGAUUCCUGAAGUAGGCAGUUCCAGAGCUGAUCAGCAACUCACAAAUGUGAUCGGGAGUCCAGACACUUUCCAUCCUUCAACACCAGCAUCAUUAGCAGGCUGGCUUCUCAUCCUCAUACUCAUCAUCUCACUGUCAUGAGCAGGCUGCCACAGCUCUAAGCAUCAGGGCUUCACGCUAAUUACAUUCAAAGAUGAGAAAAACAGGGCAAAGGAAAAAUACCUCUUCUGUUCAUCAGGAAAGAAGAAUUUCCCAGAUUUUCUCCUGUUCCCAUGGUGGGAACUGAAUCACAUGGCCAUCUCUAACUGUAAGGCAGGCCAAAAUGUUCUGUUAAAGACAACUUCUUCUUGCUCCUCAGAAACACUGGCUGCUCAUCUGGCCCCAAAAUCUGCACAUGGUUCAUUCCUUCAUUUCAUCCUUCAGCAGCCACCCCUGUGAUCAGUCAGCAGCCAUAAACAUUGAGUCAAGACCCUCCACCAGC